GCCUACGGGGGCAGCAGUGGGGAAUAUUGCGCAAUGGGCGAAAGCCUGACGCAGCGACGCCUCGUGAGGGAUGAAGGUCUUCGGAUCGUAAACCUCUGUCAGCAGGGAAGAACGGUCACUGUGCUAAUCAGCAGUGAAUUGACGGUACCUGCAAAGGAAGCACCGGCUAACUCCGUGCCAGCAGCCGCGGUAAUACGGAGGGUGCGAGCGUUAAUCGGAAUUACUGGGCGUAAAGCGCUCGUAGGCGGUAUGUCAAGUCAAGGGUGAAAUCCCCGCGCUCAACGUGGGAACUGCCUUUGAAACUG
rnacentral:rRNA from 1 species